rnacentral:rRNA from 1 species
AUUGAACGCUGGCGGCAGGCUUAACACAUGCAAGUCGAGCGGAGAUGAGGUGCUUGCACCUUAUCUUAGCGGCGGACGGGUGAGUAAUGCUUAGGAAUCUGCCUAUUAGUGGGGGACAACAUUCCGAAAGGAAUGCUAAUACCGCAUACGUCCUACGGGAGAAAGCAGGGGAUCUUCGGACCUUGCGCUAAUAGAUGAGCCUAAGUCGGAUUAGCUAGUUGGUGGGGUAAAGGCCUACCAAGGCGACGAUCUGUAGCGGGUCUGAGAGGAUGAGCCGCCACACUGGGACUGAGACACGGCCCAGACUCCUACGGGAGGCAGCAGUGGGGAAUAUUGGAAAAUGGGGGGAACCCUGAUCCAGCCAUGCCGCGUGUGUGAAGAAGGCCUUAUGGUUGUAAAGCACUUUAAGCGAGGAGGAGGCUACUGAGACUAAUACUCUUGGAUAGUGGACGUUACUCGCAGAAUAAGCACCGGCUAACUCUGUGCCAGCAGCCGCCGUAACAC